CGUUGCCGCAGGCAACGACCCGAAGGGCGAAGCGUGCAGCGCUGAGUAAUCCUUCCCCCACCACCA
rnacentral:sRNA from 1 species